CCGCCCUGCGGCGAGUGUCCCUUUUGAGCAAAUGGAUAAAGGGACUGGCAAAAAUCAGCAGAACCGGCUUUGUUUGUUGGCUUCUCUUUCUGCGUUCUUCUGGAUUCUACUGUUGUAUUUCCAUUUUGUUGUAUUAGGAGGUAAUACUGUUGAUGAAUCUGUUAAAUUAGAGGCGCUUUCACUAAACACAGAAUCAAAAACUCCAACCCUUGUAACCGAUGCCCGUUUGACAAACACCCCCUCCAAAACUACGCCCUUGAUAGAUGCGUCAUUGAAAAAUACCCCCAGUAGCAGUAGUAGUCAAAAGACGGAGACUUUUCCAUUCAUGAGGGCUUUGAGAACCAUAGAGAAUAAGAGUGAUCCUUGCGGAGGAAAGUAUAUUUAUGUCCAUGAUUUGCCUCCUAGGUUCAAUGAGGAUAUGUUGAAGGAGUGUAGGAGUUUGAGUCUUUGGACCAAUAUGUGUAAGUUCACUAGUAAUGCUGGGUUGGGACCCCCACUGGAGAAUGUUGAAGGGGUGUUUUCAAAUACAGGGUGGUAUGCCACAAAUCAGUUUGCAGUGGAUGUGAUAUUCAGUAAUAGGAUGAAGCAGUAUGAGUGCUUAACGAAUGAUUCUUCUAUUGCUGCAGCAAUUUUUGUGCCAUUUUAUGCUGGGUUUGAUAUUGCAAGGUAUCUUUGGGGGUAUAAUAUCUCAACGAGGGAUGCUGCUUCCCUUGAUUUGGUCGAUUGGCUUAUGAAGAGGCCAGAGUGGGGGAUUAUGGGAGGCAGGGAUCAUUUUCUCGUGGCAGGGAGGAUAACAUGGGAUUUCAGGAGGUUAACAGAUGAGGAAUCGGACUGGGGCAACAAACUACUCUUUUUACCCGCUGCAAAAAAUAUGUCAAUGCUUGUGGUUGAAUCGAGUCCAUGGAAUGCGAAUGAUUUUGGCAUUCCUUAUCCUACCUAUUUCCAUCCUGCGAAGGAUGAUGAUGUGUUUAUUUGGCAAGAGCGGAUGAGGAAUUUAGAAAGAAAAUGGCUUUUCUCUUUUGCUGGGGCACCACGUCCCGAUAACCCCAAAUCAAUCAGAGGGCAGAUCAUAGAUCAGUGUAAGAAGUCAAAGGUGGGCAAACUGUUGGAAUGUGAUUUUGGAGAGAGCAAAUGUCAUUCUCCAAGCAGUAUAAUGCAGAUGUUUCAGAGCUCCCUUUUCUGCUUACAACCUCAGGGUGAUUCAUAUACACGAAGGUCAGCUUUUGACUCGAUGUUGGCAGGUUGCAUUCCUGUCUUCUUCCAUCCUGGCUCAGGAGGGAUCUUACUUAGCACUUCCUC
rnacentral:misc_RNA from 1 species